CUCGUAGGCGGCCAACUAAGUCAGACGUGAAAUCCCUCGGCUUAACCGGGGAACUGCGUCUGAUACUGGAUGGCUUGAGUUUGGGAGAGGGAUGCGGAAUUCCAGGUGUAGCGGUGAAAUGCGUAGAUAUCUGGAGGAACACCGGUGGCGAAGGCGGCAUCCUGGACCAACACUGACGCUGAGCGAGCGAAAGCCAGGGGAGCAAACG
rnacentral:rRNA from 1 species